rnacentral:rRNA from 1 species
AUGGAGGUUAUCCAUGCCACAAAAGCAAUGCUUAAUGAAUGUUCAGUGGAGGAGAAAGAUGAAGGAAAUAAGCCCGCAUAUGAUAACUACUACAAUUCUUCUCCAAUUACCAUCUUGUAUACUCGGCUUGCAGGUCCCUUAACCAAUGUUGAUGCCGAAUACAAGCCGGUGGUGGCAACUGAUGAAGCAUCUCUUGGCGAGUUCCUAAGAAAUGAGCAAAGUGUACAUUCAAUUUUCAAAGAAGCAACAUCUACGAAUAUCCAUUAUAGCAGACAGAAGCACUGGGAUUACUUCUUGCAGCAACAAUCACCGGGGAUUUAA